GCAAAAAAAAAUCUUUAACCUAGAUCUAUUCUGUGUACAACUCCUUUAUUUACACUUCAUCCUUAGACCUCGUCGCUUCACUGCUCUGUCAUAAAACAAGAAAGAGAGAAAUAGAAGAGGAGGAUAGAGAAGAAAUUCUCAUGGCUGUCAUCUCUUCUUCCUCUCCCUCUUCGUGUGUCGCUGUUAUUACCACAGUCAUUGAGUGGUUAAAAUCUUGAGCCUAGGAGCGUCACGAGGUCGAGAGAAGUGGGCAAAGGUGACCAAGUAAAUAAAGUAUUGCAAGAUGGGCACGCAAAGUGGUAGCUUAGGCCACUUCCGUCAAACUUCCCCUCUGGCCAUCUUCUAUUGUCCAUCCCUCCCUUCCUCCCUCUCACUUUUAUCUGCAUCAGUUGGAGACUCUUCUUUCUAUUGGAUUGGGCCAUGUAUCUGUUGGUACCUUUAUUUUAUUUGAUUUCACUUUUUUUUCUCCCUUUAAUCCUUUCCUCUUUGUGGAUAUCUGCUUAUCGCAAUUUUUUGUUGAUCUUUUUCUUUUUAAAACCUACUUCUUUUUCUCACUAGUUUCAGCACCAAUCUUUAUGUUGAUCUUCAAAUUGACAUCUUUUGGGCAUUGUGCUUGGUAAAGAUGAUUCUUUCCCUUCGAUCUUGUAGCAGGGGUUUGCUCGAGAGGACUGAGGGAGUGCCCGUUACUUCCUUUUUCGCUAGUUCAACAUGAUCAGCAAUCUCAUCACGAGAAGCCUCGCAUGAGUAAUUAGGUUUGGUGUUUGUAAUUUUCCCUUUCUAAUUGUUGUGUGCAGAUUGGUUCUCGGGUAUGCAUGCCUGACUUAUGAAUGCUUCAAACCAUGGAGUUAAACAAGUCGGGCAUAGAGUAGCUACUUUUUUUUGUGUCAGUACUAGUGCGCUCAUGGUUCUUGUCAUGGGUAUAUAAUAAUAAGCUCGACAUUUCUUGGAUCUUUUAUGAGUUAAAUGUGAAAUUUGUGAUAUCUUUUUAGGAUUUUGGUUGUUGUUCUUACCGUCUUUAAAAGAUUGACGGAUAAUUUCAUUUCAUGGUAUUUGUUCUUUUUUAUCCUUUUGCUACACUUGCUUCUCAGUCUUGUGGUUUUGCAUGAUGAUUCUAGUCUCCUUCAAUGGAAUAUGGUUGUUAUUUCUAAGUAAUCAUUUCCAGACAGUUGUUUAUGGUGUUGGUGUUUGUGCUGAAUUUGGCAGUUCUUUGGUUCACCCUUUGGUUGGAGGUAGCUUUAUAUAUAAGACAUUUUUUGCAUACAAUUUAAUGCCUCAAUGCUACUGCUAAUAAGACUUUGUUCAAUAUUUCUUUUUGUACAGAGGUUCUCUUAAUUAGUUUGAAUAAUGUGAUUGCACAUUCUGAUGCAUUGCAAUCAGAUAAUGUAAUGACAUAUGACAAUAUUGUUUCAGUACUUGGAAAAAUAUGCCAAUUUCAUCGUGAUGGUAGUGAUGCAGCUAAGGUAUUGUUAUUGCUCAUAUUUCUUUGCAAUUUUUUUUUGUGUGUGUUUCAUGUGCUUUAUAUUUGUCAAUUUUGAUGUUUGAAGACUUGUAAAAAUAUUUCAAUUUUCUUCUCUUUCUUUUUUUUUUUUUUGGUUCUAACAUUUGGUAAUUGUAAUCAACUAAAGCCUCCCAAAUUAUGAAAUUUUUAUUGCUAAUGGAUGAUAUUAUUUAGGUUAGAUAAGGAAAUAUUAUGCAUUUGUUUUAUUUCAAUUUUUUGCGUGUUGUAUCUCACUUAUUUAAAUCAUUAACAUUUCCUAAUGCUAAACAAGUGCCAUCUUAAAUUGAUUCACCAGAGAAUUCUAAGUAUUGGUUUUCAAUUUGUCUUUUCUCAAGACUUUGUUACUUUUUCUAUAAAUAUUCUUUUUCCCUUCAUUAUUCUUGUACUACAUAAUACUAAUGAAGCAGAAUAUUAUUUUUUUUGAUUUGAUCAAGGGGAGAUUUAUCAACUAUUACUUCAGUAACAAUUGAGGGUUGCAUGGACAUUCAUGUCCACACUAGAAAUCAUGAUGGUUAUAUAUACUUUGAUAUAUGUGCAUUUUUUGUGAACAAAUUCAUGUAAAUAAUAUUGUGUGUAUUUUUUAGGUAGACUAAAGAUUUUUUUUUAAUUGGUCUUAUUUUUUGGCAUGUUCUCCAUGCAAGGGUGAGGUCGUUGGAAGUGGACUUGGAGGAGCAGAAGGUGGUGGUGGUUGGAGACAACAUCACGUCAUUUGAAGUCCUCAAUUGUGUAUCAAAGAUAUGGCUAUGUGAUAAUGGAACCAGUGAAAAAGAAAUGAAGAAGGCCAGAGAAGGGACCACAUAUCUAAUGAGUAGAAAAGCUAUAAUUCUUUUUUAUGCUGUUGUAUGAUGUAUAUUGCUAUAACACUUGCUACAACACUUGUAUAUAUGAGCUUGUACUUCAUAUUGCUAUAA